rnacentral:lncRNA from 10 species
AGUACCAAGCUCUUUUCCAUUAUAAACUUAUUGAUUAUUAUUACUAAUGAAUAUUAUUACUAUUACUUUUAUCAUCCAAGCAUUAUUUAUCGAGAAGUUAUUCUGCCAGGUACUUGUACAAGGAAUUUCACAAAUAUCAUAGCAUUUAAUUAUCACUAUGAUUCUGUGAGAUCAACAUGAGAAAAAAAGCAGAGGCUGACUCACCAACUGCUGCUCUUCUUACAGCUCUAAUCUCCAUCCAGUCAUCCCUUCUUACAGCUAAGAUGUAUUAAGAUACCCAGUCAUAGAACUGCUGCAUUUCCUGAGCAUCCGAUGCAGAGCAAAGCCUGCUUCUUUAAACCGUCCUCCAAAUCAACGAACACAAGCCUGAGUCCUAGAAGUCCUUUCUAACAUCCUCUUAAUGAGAUGUCACUGUGUGAUCACCCAGGUCUGUAUUCUCCUUUGCCUUAGUGAGUAAUAAACGCACAUUGUUCGACUUCUAGUUCAGCUAG